AAUGGAUUUGGCGGCGAAACAGUCCGUUUAGAGGAACCUGCUCUGUAAACGAUAGUCCACGAGAUAUCUUACUUUUUUUAGUAGUCAGUUUGUAUAUCGUUGUUGUCAGUUAGUUUUAAAAGAAGAUUUUCUUAAUUGAUUAUUCAUUGACUUCAAAUAAAGGUGCAGCAAAUAAGAAAGUUUGAAGGAGGUUACACUUAAAAGAUUUAUACGGAAAGGUAUAUGUAAAAUAGAUUGAAGGAGGAUUUAGACGUAAAAAAUUAGGAUUUUGAUAGGAGUAUUGUUUUGUGUACACACCGCCCGUC
rnacentral:rRNA from 1 species